CUAGAAGAGGGAAGGAGCUGUUCCUGAACAGAUGAAAACUAAGCAGUCCAGGCCUGUGACCAGGCCUAGAAGAGCGUCACCUCAGAGGACUGGGAAGAAGGCCUUUGGCAUUUGAGGGGGUAGGGUGAUUGAUCCUCCCGGCCCAGUGAGAGAAGGGGGUGGAAAACGCGACUUGAAGGAAAUGCUGCCUUUCUGUGGGCCAGGCACCCAUUACGGAUGGGACUGUCAUUUUGCCCAGAGGCCACCUGUCCUGUCCAGUCUUACAUCAAUAUUCGCCCUGAAGCAUCUCUCAGAACUGGUCUGGCCUCGCCUGUCUCCAGAUCCGAAUCCAGGACCGGUAGAGUGCCGCAAGCCAUAGGUUUAACAUUAAAAAUAUGCCUCCCUCCCUAGGCGCUCGGCCGACCCCGGGGCCCGCACCCAGGAAGGAAGCCUAAGGGCUCAGGCUCAAGGCAGCUGCCGCUCCAGCUUCAGGGCAGUCCCAGGCGGAAUUCUUCCAGGAAGAAAAACAAAACAAUCCCUGACUCCACGUGGGACUGAAGUACUCCUGAAGCCAGGGUUGGAAGACAUGGGCUCCGACUCUCAAUCCAACCGCUGGGCAACCCAGGACAACCUAGGACUUUCACCCCGAAACAGUUUCACCUUUCCCACCCGCGCGAUCUCGAUUCAGGGGCCCAGGCAGGACACCCCGCCGAGGGAGGACCCGGGACCUGCGCCUUUCCUAGGCAGGGCUCCGCGGAUACUGCGUGGGGCCCCGGUUCAGACCGCUGGCCGGUCGCGAGGUCCGGAACCUGUGUUCCUGGCCGUCGCUCCUAAAGCGUUUUAGGGAGCCGGCUGAGAGACUGGGGCUCGGCUGCAGGAGCCACAGGCGGUCCUU
rnacentral:lncRNA from 1 species